rnacentral:rRNA from 1 species
GACGAAGGUGGCAAGCGUUAUUCGGAUUUACUGGGCAUAAAGCGCGUGUAGGCGGUUGCCAUAGUCAGGUGUGAAAGCCUUGAGCUCAACUCAAGAAAUGCACUUGAUACUGGGCGACUAGAGGACCGGAGAGGAUAGUGGAAUUCCCAGUGUAGUGGUGAAAUACGUAGAGAUUGGGAAGAACACCAGUGGCGAAGGCGGCUAUCUGGACGGUUUCUGACGCUAAGACGCGAAAGCGUGGGGAGCAAACAGG